rnacentral:lncRNA from 1 species
UGGGCAUGCGUCCUGGCCUCUGUUUGGAAUGCUCUCUUUCUGCCUCAGUUUCCUUCCUGAUGUAUAUAUAUAGACUCAGCCUCUCUGCCCAAGUCUUCUAUGAUGACAGCUCACUAGGCAGGCAGCGUGGAUCUAUGUUCCAGUCUCCUCUUGCAGAUCAGAUACCACCUCUGAGAUCCUUCUCUGCUCCUCACUGACCAAACUCAAGGAACAGAUCUUCCCUGCCCAGGUCUCCAGGACCCCAACCUACCCACUUCUAGGAGAGAAUUCACACAGGGGAAGACCGUGUGAAGACACUGGAAGAAGACAGCCAUCCACAAAGCAAGGACAGGAGCCUUGGAGGAGAACAAUCCUGGGGACUCCUUGAUCUUAGACUUCUAGCCUCCAGGAUUAUUAGAAAAUAAAUUUAUGUUAUUUAAGCUGCCCAGUCUGUGGUACCUUGCUAUGGCAGCCCUAGCAAAAUAAUUCACAGGCUAUUUACACUUGAACAUGAAUUAUUGAUAGUAGGGAAAAAAAAUGAGCCCUGUAACUUUCCUAGUCUUGAGGAAUAGAGACUACAAACAAAUCAAGUCUUCUGUGGGAAUGCUGGGCCAUGGGCUUUGGAAUCACCACCAGUGAUGGAACCCGAAGUAAGCUACUAAACCUCGACAGGCUCAUUCAUGAAUCACCACCAGUGAUGGAACCCCAGGUGGUCCUGAAAGGAGGAGGUGCUUUGCUUCUCUUUUUCGCAGAUGUCAAUUAUGGAUCAACUUCUGAGUCACAUAGAAGAGCACCAUCAAUUGGCCAUUUCUCACCUGAUCACUGAGGAUAUAAAGUGCUUUUCCAGACUCCAGGACUCGGUUCAUUGCUAGUAUCAGGACGCCUCUCAUGUAUGGGAAGCCAGAAACAUCCCAGGAGCCUCACUGACUGCUUGGGCACAGCCCUCUGAGCAGACCUAUGAAGAAACAGAAGGAUUUGUGCCUUUUAGCGAGGAGGAUGCAGCACAUGCAGAGGCUUCAUAAAUCUGAUGAGUGCUGAAAAGAACCAUGCCCUCCAGCAAGGGGGAGCCAGGAAACAUUCUACAGGAAAGUCUGGAGUUUUGACACCUGUUGAGAGACACACCACCCACUAAAGAAAAAAAGGGUGCAGAGCUCUUCUACCCUUAGAUAAUAUGUGUUGGGAAGAAUUAACCAGUUCUGCAGUUUGGUCAAGGUUCAGCAGGGACAGUUUGUCUCUGUUCCACAUAGUAUCAGCUGAGGCAGCUCAACUGAGGAUGGAGGAUGCACUUUCAAGAUUGUUUCCUUGCAAGACUGGCAAGCUUGUAUUGUCAGCUGGACCUCAACUAGGACUGUUGGCCAGGGACCUCUCUCCUCCUCCACAUAGAUCCAUCUAUGUGGCUGUUUGGGUUUUCUGACAAGAUGGCCACAAGUUCCCAAGAGCAAAUAUUCCAAGAAAACAAGCCUCAAUAUGAAAUCACUUAUCAGGCCUCUCCUUGCAUCAUACUUGCCAAAUGUCCCAUUGGCCAAAGAUGGCUCCAUGAUCAAGCCCAGAGUCCAUGUGGGAGGGGACUACACAAGGGUAAGAACUCCAACAGCUGUGGUUCAUUGGGGGUCACCAAACUAAGAGUUUACCACAGAGUGUGGUAACUUUCGUCUCUCCCCAUUAGUAGAGAAAAAUUGAAAAUUGGUAUUAUUUGCCCACUCCCCCAAUUUUUUAAGUCAGAAACUUAAUACCAAUGUUUCCUAAUUUUUAAGUUGGCUUAAGAAAAUUGGAGCCAGGUGUGGUGGCUCACGCCUGUAAUCCCAGCACUUUGGGAGGACGAGGCAGGCGGAUCACGAGGUCAGGAGAUCGAGACCACCCUGGCUAACACAGUGAGACCCCGUCUCUACUAAAAAUACAAAAAAAAUUAGCCGGGCGUGGUGGCGGGCGCCUGUAGU